rnacentral:rRNA from 1 species
GAUUUUCGCAAUGCCCGAAAGGGUCUGACCUAUCCCUGGAGGAAGCACGGGCUAAGUUCGCGCCAGCAGCCGCGGUAAGACGAACCGUGCGAACGUUGUUCGGAAUCACUGGGCUUAAAGGGCGCGUAGGCGGGCCGCAAAGUCAGGGGUGAAAUCCUCCAGCUCAACUGGAGAACUGCCUUUGAUACUGGCGGCCUGGAGUAAGGUAGGGGCAUGCGGAACUGAUGGUGGAGCGGUGAAAUGUGUUGAUAUCAUCAGGAACUCCGGUGGCGAAAGCGGCGUGCUGGACCUUUACUGACGCUGAGGCGCGAAAGCCAGAGGAGCAAACGGGAUUAGAUACCCCGGUAGUCCUGGCCCUAAACGAUGGGCACUAAGUAGAGGGGUUUU